rnacentral:lncRNA from 1 species
GCAAGCGAGUUGCUUCAAGGAAUUAACCAGAACCAAAUCUGAUUAAGCCCCUAAUUGGCUUCUAUCCUACUGGCACAGCAAGAGCCACAAAGAGCUCAGAAUUACUUCUGAGAAGAUGUUUAAAUCACUGACAGCAAGGUUCAACAAGGUGGAGCCAAAAGAAGAAAAAAAUAAGAAUGAAGAAACAACAAAACCACACAUUCAAUCUCAGCUACUCACCAGUGAGGGAGAAAGGAAAGCUGAAAAGGAACCCACCGAAGCCAAGACUUCUUCAGCCAAUCUUAACCCUUCAGACCUAAAGCGGCAAGAAGCAAUUUGUGGACAAAAUUUGCUUGAGGAACUGAACAAAAAUCCUGAUCUGGCAGACCCAUCUGAAGUGGAAAAAACACAGAAACUGACCUAUAAUGGGACGGAGACUUCAGCAAAGUCACCUUUUCAUAAAUCAAUCAGCUCCCUGCAAAUGUUAUGAGCCCGGUCCACACGAAGCAAUUCCACAGCAAUGAUGGAUCUGAUAAUAGUGAGCAGCAGCCGUCAAUCAGUCAUUUGUAUUGCUUGAGUGCUUACUUUGUGCAGACCACUGUACCAAGUGCCUGGAAGAGUACAUACUACAGUAAAUAGACAUAUUACCUGCCCACCACAAAGAGGCUUGAGUCUGAUGUUUGAAGUUUGAAUAAAGGUUUUUUGUUUGUUUUGGUUCUUUUUAACAUGAUAGCUAAUUUCUCUCAGGUUUGACCUAGGGUUUUUUUGUGGGGUUUUUUGGUUUUUGAGGUU